GACUUUGUUCAAUGGGCUGGAGGAGAAUGUCCAUAGAAACUGCAUUCUCUUUUUAUAUUAUUUUAGAUAAACACUGUUUUUUGUCUUUUUAUAGAAAUUGGUUGCUUUGAUCGUGCAGGCUUCAGUUUUAUUGAUGAACCGGUAGUCUGUCGCAUCUGCAUGGUUGCUUGAGAAUUAAUUGUAUCAUGGUUUUUUGCAAGUGUAGUUCGGUUGCUAUCCUCUGAAGACUACUUCCACCCACACUCAAGAGUGCAUCCAAGACAUUCCUACUUGGAUGAAACAGGCUGACGUCAUUUUUAUGUGUCUUAUACCAAUUAUUGAAACGUCCUCUCUCUUUACGCUUUUGCUAUUUUUAGAUUCCCUCUUCACGCGAAGAAGCCUUAAAGAAAAAUUAUCGCAUGGUUCCAUCUUUCUCCAGGAAAAAAUACUUUCGUAUUUAUAAUUUCUACGUAUUGCAUGUAAAUGUUUUUAUGAAGAUAUUAACAGUUUGGUAAUAAUAUGUCGAGGUAUGAAUACGUCGGCGCAGCAAAGCAAAUCAUCUCAAGUUGUUAUAUGAAGUGUGGGCUCGAAAGUCAAUGAAACCCACCAGGAACACAACUGCAAGAACAAAACUGCAAGCAAAAAACCUUAAUUGAUCGAGGAACAAAAUUUUUUUCUCUGUCUCUUUCGUUCAUCCACCAUGUCUGUGUGAAGGUGUUAGUUAAGAUGAGGUGGUUGGCUUACUUGUAGAAGCCCAGACCACCCCUGUGUCAGACCAACUAACACCUAACCAUGAAGGCAAAGAGAUGAAAAAGACUUUUAACUACAUCGAAGUGAAGGUGUUAGUGGAGAUGGGGUGGUCCGCUUAAGAUGUCAAGGAAAUAAAUCCUAUUCUUGACCCAAAAAAUGAAUCAGAUGCCCAGACCACCCCGGUGUCAAACCAACUAACACCUAACCAUCAAAAUGAUCAAUGGAUGGGUGCACAUGAGUGAAGUGAAGAAUCAAUGUGUAACUAUUAUUGUAGCGUCAGGGAAACUGGUCAUUUACUAUGUAUUGCUGAUUUUCAUGAUAUGGAAUCAUGAAAAUACACAAAUCAUAAAGAUUUUGCAAAUUCCUUUAUAAUAUGAAUUAGGUUAAUUUGGCAACGUUAUCCUUCAUUCAGAUGAGCAGUUGUUUCAAACAUUGAAGACUACUAAUAGAAAAGGCUAAACAGCAAAAAAGGACUCCGCUGUGAAAAUAAUUCCCAUUGAAUGUGAAGAAAAGUACAUAGUUCUCUCUCUCGAGAAAACAAUAGUGGGUUGAAAUUAGAAAAAAAAACAAAUAAAAAAUGGAAUGUUUGCAUAGCAGUCAAACAAAAACUAAGACACGCAUAUCAUGAAAAAAGUCUAAGUUUGUACAAAGGACAUCUGUACAACUAUAAUUUUUGAGGACAAAAAUCAAUUGUAGACUGCUUUUUUUCAACAGAAGCAAAUUUUCUUCGAAAAGUUUCACUUCACUGUGCUAUGAGAUGUAAGAUGAAGAUCGUCUUCGUGGAUUAUUUUUACCAGAAGAAAGAAAAAAAUAGUUACUAUGAAACAGGCCACAGGUUUCAUUCACCAAUGUAACAUUCUAGAAUUGAAAUUGGCUGAAACUAAACGUUCAGGAAAACAUUUGUCGUCAAAAUUAAACUCAAUGUGGAAGUAUGUUCUUUAAUUGGCAACAUUUUUUGGAAUCUCUCUUUGCUUGGGCUCAUAUAAAAAUUUCCUGAAGGAGGUUGAGAAUCGACUUAAUAUUAUCAAAAAAUGGAGUCGAGUGAUUUUCAAGUUGAACACUUUCAAAAAUGGCUCCGUGAGACUGACGAGUCUCAUUUCUAGUCGCUCAAUUGAGAUGUUAGUAUGUGCUCAGUAACUUACUUUAGAACUAUGCUCGACAUAUAUGGCUAUAUCACUGAACAUUACUCAAAUAAUCAAUGUCUAAGCAGGAAAUUGUCCUUUAAGCUACUUGCAUGCGCGUGUCGUUCGUCAGUAAAAAGCUAAAAAUAAAUUCAACCACAAGUAGUAAUCGAUACACCGCCAGCCUUAAAGUUAUAUAAUUGCAAAUUUUCAAUACUUUUAAAAGGGUUUUCUUACACGAUAACUCUUGCAGCUUUGAGGUUGGUAAAAUUUCGAUUUUUCAUUUCAUCUCAUUCGAGUAUAAAUUCUGAAUUAUCUUUUUGAAGAGUCUUAAAUAUCAUUUAAAGAUUUUAAAUAUAAUUGAAACAAAA